GAUGAAGAACGUAGCGAAAUGCGAUAAGUAAUGUGAAUUGCAGAAUUCAGUGAAUCAUCGAAUCUUUGAACGCACAUUGUGCCCCUUGGUAUUCCGAGGGGCAUGCCUGUUCGAGCGUCAUUAUCACCCCUCAAGCUCAGCUUGGUGUUGGGGCCGGCCCGUCACAGGGCCGCCCCUAAAAGCAGUGGCGGUGCCAUCUGGCUCUACGCGUAGUAAUACUCCUCGCGACAGAGUCCCGGUGGUGUCCUGCCAGAACCCCCCAUCUUUUUAAUGAUUGACCUCGGAUCAGGUAGGGAUACCCGCUGAACUUAAGCAUAUCAAUAAGCGGAGGA
rnacentral:misc_RNA from 1 species